rnacentral:rRNA from 1 species
CAGCAGCCGCGGGAAAACGUAGGGUGCAAGCGUUAAUCGGAAUUACUGGGCGUAAAGCGUGCGCAGGCGGUUUGUUAAGACAGAUGUGAAAUCCCCGGGCUCAACCUGGGAACUGCAUUUGUGACUGGCAAGCUAGAGUAUGGCAGAGGGGGGUGGAAUUCCGCGUGUAGCAGUGAAAUGCGUAGAUAUGCGGAGGAACACCGAUGGCGAAGGCAGCCCCCUGGGCCAAUACUGACGCUCAUGCACGAAAGCGUGGGGAGCAAACAGGAUUAGAUACCCCAGUAGUCCCUGUCUCUUAUAC